GGGGGGAGCGCUGGAUCCUGGUCUGUGUCUCCCAGUGCCCUGCCUGCACCGCUGGAAUCGUGCUCCUGGCGCUGCGCAGCCCCCU
rnacentral:pre_miRNA from 1 species